UGCCGGGAGAAGAAACCCAGACCUCUGUGAAGAUCCGCCCCCGAGCCCGAGCAGCCCCCCGCUCCGCCCCUGAUGCCUGCAGAGCCCUGGCCCCCUCGGGCCUCGCCCAAGUGCCCCAGGAUAGCCAACCCCCUCUCCCCGACCUGCUCCAGCUUUGACCAGAGCAUCCCAAGAUUCCUGGACCUGUUAUUCUGUGCUUUGGGGGUUAUCUGCUGAGUCUGGAGGGUGUAAUGUCCAGGGGAAUACCAUGCUGGAUGACUGGAGACCAUGAUCCCAAACCUGGCAGCUUAAGCUUUGGUACCCAGAGGGAUCCUGGGCUGCAGCUCGGAGCCCCAGCCCCCAUCAUCUGGAGGACAGUUCCAACUGCUGGGAUGGCCAGGCUUCUUGCUCUCCGUGGACUCCCAGGCUCUCGCCUCUCCACCCAAGGUCUCCAGCUGCACAACCAGACUUCUGAUACAGCAGCUUAGAGUUCUCCUAAGCACAAAAGUGCCAGGCCUUCUUAAGACCAAGGCCCAGAAGUGGAAUGGCCUCAUUUCUGCUGCAUCCAAUUGGUUACAUUCAAGGGGAAAAGAAAUGAACUCCACUUCUUAGUGGGGGAAUGACAAAGAAUUCACAUUCAUCAUUAAUCCACCACCGACUGUGUGACCUUGAGCAAGAAAAUUACUUAACCUUUCUGAUU